rnacentral:lncRNA from 1 species
CAGCAAAACGGAGCAGUGAUGACUCAUCCUGCACUACGCAAAUUUUUUUGUCCAAUCAGAUGCUCUCUUGAAGAAGAAUGGCCCGCCCCCUUAUGCCACAUACAACCGACUAAAAAUGGAGCAUUGAUGACUCAUCCUGCAUUAUUCAGAUUUUUGUCCAAUCAGAUGCUCUCUUGAAGGAGAACGUCCCGCCCCCUUACGCUGUAUACAACCGACUUCCGGCCCGUCCCAAGAGUGUUGUGCAUUGUACCGGGUUGAAGAAAUCUCAUCACUGUAUUGAUACAUCACAAAAGCCAAGCGCAAUCAUCAUCUGUGAAAGAUCCUCUGAGACCAAUUUAGACCCCAAAGACUUUGACCAUAACAUUUAAAUCAGCAAAACGGACUAAUUUAGUGUUGGCUAUGAUAGUCCUGAAUACAAUUAUUGUA